UUGGGGUGUUGUCUAGAGUUUCCUCGUCCGGUUCUCGUGUGUGAAUA
rnacentral:sRNA from 1 species